GAUGAACGCUGGCGGCGUGCCUAAUACAUGCAAGUCGAGCGAACAGAUGAGGAGCUUGCUCCUCUGACGUUAGCGGCGGACGGGUGAGUAACACGUGGAUAACCUACCUAUAAGACUGGGAUAACUUCGGGAAACCGGAGCUAAUACCGGAUAAUAUAUUGAACCGCAUGGUUCAAAAGUGAAAGACGGUUUUGCUGUCACUUAUAGAUGGAUCCGCGCCGCAUUAGCUAGUUGGUAAGGUAACGGCUUACCAAGGCAACGAUGCGUAGCCGACCUGAGAGGGUGAUCGGCCACACUGGAACUGAGACACGGUCCAGACUCCUACGGGAGGCAGCAGUAGGGAAUCUUCCGCAAUGGGCGAAAGCCUGACGGAGCAACGCCGCGUGAGUGAUGAAGGUCUUCGGAUCGUAAAACCCUGUUAUUAGGGAAGAACAAAUGUGUAAGUAACUAUGCACGUCUUGACGGUACCUAAUCAGAAAGCCACGGCUAACUACGUG
rnacentral:rRNA from 1 species